rnacentral:rRNA from 1 species
UACGGAGGGUGCAAGCGUUAUCCGGAAUCACUGGGUUUAAAGGGUGCGUAGGCGGUUUGGUAAGUCAGUCGUGAAAUCGCUGGGCUCAACCCAUGCAAUUGCGAUUGAUACUGCCAAACUUGAAUGGGGUUAAGGCAGGCGGAAUGUGGCAUGUAGCGGUGAAAUGCAUAGAUAUGCCAUAGAACACCGAUUGCGAAGGCAGCCUGCUGGGCCUUUAUUGACGCUGAGGCACGAAAGCGUGGGGAGCAAACAGG